rnacentral:rRNA from 1 species
GAGUCGGACCUGCCCAGUGAAUAAUUUUAACGGCCGCGGUACUCUGACCGUGCAAAGGUAGCAUAAUCAUUUGCCCUAUAAUUGAGGGCUAGUAUGAAUGGUUUGACGUGAGCAAAACUGUCUCUGUAUAAUUCUUUAGAACUUGAUUUUUAGGUGAAGAAACCUAAAUAUUAUUGAUAGACAAGAAGACCCUAUUGAGCUUUAAAGAAGCGGAUUGGGUAAAACCUAUGAUUUUAGAUGUUAAUCUAUCUGGGAUUUUGGUUGGGGCGACUAUGGAACAGACAAAGCUUCUUCAUACUAUAAAAACCCUCAGGUUUUGAUCCAGAAAUUUUGAUCAAUGGAAUUAGUUACCAUAGGGAUAACAGCAUAAUUCUUUUUGAGAGUUCUUAUCGAAAAAAGAGUUUGUGACCUCGAUGUUGGACUAGAAUAUCCUAAAGAUGCAGCGGUCUUUAAGGGUUGGUC